rnacentral:rRNA from 1 species
UACGGAGGGGGCUAGCGUUAUUCGGAAUUAUUGGGCGUAAAGGGCGUGUAGGCGGCUUCGUGUGUCCCAUGUGAAAGCCCUCGGCUCAACCGGGGAACUGCAUGGGAAACUGCGGAGCUUGAGUCCGGGAGAGGGUAGCGGAAUUCCCAGUGUAGCGGUGAAAUGCGUAGAUAUUGGGAGGAACACCAGUGGCGAAGGCGGCUACCUGGACCGGUUCUGACGCUGAGGCGCGAAAGCGUGGGUAGCAAACAGG